rnacentral:tRNA from 1 species
GCACUUUCUGCUGCAUACUUCGGCAACGGCCUUCUAAGCCGUAGGUCACAGGUUCGAACCCUGUAGGGCGUACCA